CCUACGGGUGGCAGCAGUGAGGGAUAUUGGUCAAUGGAGGAAACUCUGAACCAGCAACGCCGCGUGAGGGAAGACGGCUUUCGGAUUGUAAACCUUUGUCCUUUGUGAAGUUGAUCACGGUAGCAGAGCAGUAAUACCCGGCUAACUACGUUCCGGCAGCCGCGGCAAGACGUAGGGAGCGGGCGUUGUCCGGAUUUACUGGGUGUAAAGGGUGCGUAGGCGGGUUGGCAAGUAAGGAGUGAAAUCCAUGGGCUCAACCCAUGAACUGCUAUUGAAACUGGCGAGCUUGAGUGAAGUAGAGGUAGGCGGAAUUCCAGGUGUAGCGGUGAAAUGCGUAGAGAUCAGGAGGAACAC
rnacentral:rRNA from 1 species